UCAAGUUAAUCUUCCCCUGAUUUCUGUCACCUGUGACUGUGCCUAUUUAAACCAGCUCCUGCAUCACAGCCUUGCCGGAACGUCUCAGCCUUACAGCCACGACUACCUGCUCCUGACAAGCUUCAGACCCUGUUCAUCCUUUCCAAUCUGACCUGACCUGUGUCUGCCUCACUGCCUCCCGUUCAGCCUGCUUCCCUUGUGCCUUUUGUGAGUACCUCUCUACAUUGCUCCCGGAUUGAUUCCCGUGUACCAAACCUUCCUUCAGCCUUGGACCUCCCUUCUGGACUACGGACAUAUCACACCCUCCCCUCCUCCUCCUCCCUUGCUGCUGUGUUUCCUGUUGCCUCAUCCUGAGCAGAGAUCACACUCUAUUCCUUCCAGCCACUACUCCAUCUUCAAGACAAGUUCUGCACCUCCUGGUGGCUGGAGGAGAUCCCUACACUGACUCACCUGUUCCUGCUUAUCCUCCUGCAGCCUUCAAUAAAUCAUUGUCAUCUGC